rnacentral:rRNA from 1 species
CUUUGUAAUUGGAAUGAUGGGAAUUUAAACCUCUUCCAGAGUAUCAAUUGGAGGGCAAGUCUGGUGCCAGCAGCCGCGGUAAUUCCAGCUCCAAUAGCGUAUAUUAAAAUUGUUGCAGUUAAAAAGCUCGUAGUUGAAUUUCUGCUGCAUUGCUUGUGUCCCUCUGGGGUCUGUGCAUGUGGCUUUUUUCGGACGGAGUUUCUUUGUCUGAAUGUUUACUUUGAGAAAAUUAGAGUGCUCAAAGCAGGCUUUCGCCUUGAAUAGUUUAGCAUGGAAUAAUAAAGUAGGACUUUGGUUCUAUUUUGUUGGUUUUAGGUACCAAAGUAAUGGUUAAUAGGAACAGUUGGGGGCAUUCGUAUUUAACUGUCAGAGGUGAAAUUCUUAGAUUUGUUAAAGACGAACUACUGCGAAAGCAUUUGCCAAGGAUGUUUUCAUUAAUCAAGAACGAAAGUUAGGGGAUCGAAGACGAUCAGAUACCGUCGUAGUCCU